UCCUGCCUCGUUAAUCUCCAUCCAGCAGUUACCAAAACUGCAAGUCCUCGUGAUCCAGUCAAGAGACUUCACCGACGUUCACUUGAGUGAGAUGACACAUCUCAAAGGCCUGUUCUGUCGUGCCUGCAUCUCCAUAACUGAUCAAGGAAUCCGAAAUUUCUUCAGCUCCGCAUCAAACAUCAGGGAACUUCGCAUUGAAAACUGCAUUUUAGUCACAAAAAACGCGACUGUAACGAGUGCACGGAGGUACACAGAAUUUUCUGGGAAUUCCCUGAAGCUAUCCAUAGAUCCGCUCUUCGUUGAUGAAUAUUCAGAAUCAGAGAGUGAAGACACUGAAAAAUUCCAGGUCUUCUACGACAAUUUUGAGACGUUUUGGAAUGAGAAUUGGGGUCGACAGCUGUUAGAAUAAAAAAAUUGAACAAUACCAUGAAUUUUUACGAAAAAUCGAUAAAUCGAUUGUCAUCAAUGAUAAUUGGAGAGUUUUUCCAUCAGAGGGACUAUCCUCAUUUGUUUUCCCGAUGGAUGUGAAAUUAACAAGAUGUCAAAAUUCUUCUGAAUAACAAUUGAUUCCUUCAUAAGUGAAAAAUGGAAAGUCAUGGAGGUCGCAUCAUUUGCAAAAAAAAAUAAAGAUCAGCCGUUAAUUUCCACUGGAAUAAAAAUCACUUACUGGAUUGUUUUCGGAUUAAUCAGCCUCAUGACUAUUUUCCACUCGUCAACGAUGGACAAUCGGCUGAUCUACGACGAGGAUUGGUUACUCAAUCAACAAAAUGCUGAAGAAAAUUACGCAGACAUGUUCAACGAAAAUACAAUAGACAUUUAAACAUAUCCAAGAAAUAUAGAUUUAUUGGGUCUUCAGCUCUCCCAAACAUGUUAAAAUAUCUUCAACUGAAUAAAUCUACGAUGUAAACUUA